UUUUUCUUUUUUGGACUAUUUGGGAGGCCUGGUCUGAGACCAGGCCUCCCAAAUACACACUGUAGUCAAAAGUCAAGGCCUGGCCUGAGACCAGGCCUUGAACACUGAAUCUCCAAACAAAUACGAAUGCAUUCUCACUUGCAUUUGUUAGAAUUAAGAAUCGGUAUUGUACCAUGCUAAGUAAGUAUGAUUGCGCUCUCUUAUAGUUUGUAGAAAAUCAUGGUGGAUAGUAUUGUGCCAUGAGAUAGUCAACUACAGGUGCUCCUCGCUGUACGAUGGUUCACGGUGGUGCGAUAGUGAUGCACAUUCAAUACUGCACAUUUAUUGAUAGGAUAAACUUGUAUUCAUUUAUUAAUUUUUUGUAUAUUUACUUAGUGACAUUUAUUUAUUUAUAUUCAUAUUCGACUAGUGAUGUUUUCAACUUUCGAUGGAUUCUUAAGAACUUGACCCCAUUGUAAGUUAAGGAGUGCCUGUAGUGUAGUGUUUCUCAGCUACUGUCCUACACUACCCACCUACUGGCAUUCACCAAAGGAACAAUGGAAGUACAAUAAGUCAUCAACUCGCAAAACCAUUGAGAAUUGUCUCUAUUGUGUACAAUAAAUCAUUUUUGUGUAUAAUAUUAUGCACAAUACUGGAGGUCCCCAUUGUGUUCAUAAGUUGAAGACUUAAUGUAAUGUGACUAUUAUGCAUGGGGUCCCCAGUGUGUUUGUAAGUUGAGGACUUUUUGUAUACACAGCCCACAUGUAGGAGAAAGAAACUAAGUUUCAGUCCAACUUGAACUAUUAAUUAGCCGUGUGGCUAGUUAAUGGUCCCCGUUGAACCGAAACGUUCUCCUCUGUGCGGGUUAUUUGUGUAUUGUUCCAGUCACGGCAUUGUGACUUUGUAUUUAGGGACGGGGAAGGGAUAGACCUUGCCCUUCUGGAUCUAGCAAAGUAAAUUUAAGUUACAUAUUUAUAAGCAUUUAGAAAGACAGAUUCCCAUCAUGAUAGACAUCAGUUAUAAUUGUUAUAGUUAUUAUAAUUGUUAUAAUUGUACCCAUUACUCAUUUUAAAUUGGUGAAGUUAGAGAAUAUUUCACUUUUCCUCUUUAACAAACAAGUGUUUAUUUCUUCGCAUCGACUGAAUGAGCCUUAAAUCCUUCAACAAAAACAAUGGAAAUUUUUUUUUUAUUUCUCAAAAAUUUUAAUACAAAAUACUGGAACAGCUUUGAAGAAAAACAAAUCCGGUGUUUCCUCCCUCAGUGUAUUACUUCUCAGAGGCCGUGGGUCACCCACACCUGCACCUGGUGUGGACCCUGUUUAUAAAGUCUUUCACUAAUUAUACGAGGCCAAUAAUUAAGAGGUUAGAGAAUUGUUAAAAUUCUAAAGUCAUGUUUUCUUGCAUUUAGACAAUUGACAAAAUUCUAAAGUGACAUUUUAUCACAUUUAGAUAAUUGACAAAAAUCUAGAGUAACAUUUCCUCGCAUUUAGAUUAUGAAUGCUUUUCCAUAACCCCCAUGCGAUUGUUUAGUGUUUUACCAUGAGUGUAGUAAUUAAGUUGAUCUUUAAACUGAACACAAGCUAGAACACUGAAGCAGUGUAGUAAAAUUGCAAUUUAUGGAAAUAACUCGUAAAAUCGCAAUAACAUGAUUACAAACAAGCCAAGGAACGGGUGGAGUUUGAAGGCAUGGCCUGCGAGUCCUGAAAUCCAGGCCUUUAGUUUUACGGCUUGCCAUUGGUUCAAACCCCCCCACAAGUUCUGUGGUUUGAACACACUGACAGCUGCUAAGGCUCCUGUCAUAAUCUCGGAAAAUUCAAUGUUUACUCUGUCACUGAUGAUGGUUCCAAGUCAUAAUGAAAUACAGUAAGUCCUGUACUUACAAACACAUUAAGGUCCUCCUGAAUUGUGUAUAAUGUUCAUAAUACAGGAAGUCUUCAACUUAGGAACAUGUUGGAGACUGUCUUGUGUACAGUGGACCCCCGGUUAACGAUAUUUUUUCAUUCCAGAAGUAUGUUCAGGUGCCAGUACUGACCGAAUUUGUUCCCAUAAGGAAUAUUGUGAAGUAGAUUAGUCCAUUUCAGACCCCCAAACAUACACGUACAAACGCACUUACAUAAAUACACUUACAUAAUUGGUCGCAUUGGGAGGUGAUCGUUAUGCGGGGGUCCACUGUAUAAUGAUAUAACAAUAUUAUGCACAAUGAUACACACAAUUCCGAAGAUUUUCAACAUGUUUAUAAUAAUGUGCUGAUUUUUUUUUUAGCAGGAUGAGUUGGAGGAUGAGUUGGGAACGUUGAUGAUAAUGAUUAUUAAUGGUAGUAAAUAACCCACAUAGACAAGAAAACGACAAAAAUAGUCUUCUGAGGAACAAGUCAUAGUACCGUUGCUGGGACAGUUCAGAUUUAAAUUUUUAUUUUUGUGAUACAAGUAUAAUAUAGUUUACAUUUAAUAAAAGAUUGUUAAGCACAAAAAAUCAGGAACAUGAAGUGUAUUUCAAGGAAGAUGUCCUCUUCAGCAGGUCUACUGAAGAGGACCCAAAAGGUCAAAAUUUGUGGGUUAUUUCUUCUCAUUAUACAUUGAUACAUCAAUAUUAAUGAUGUCUGACCCUGCCUUCAAGGCUGUGCCAAUACUAGUGCCUUAAGUUAACACACACACACUCCCAGACACACUUUAUAUUGCAUUUAUCCAGAAGUUUGUAGUGUUGAAUGUUAGAGAUCAUGAUACAGCAGGGGUCAGUGUCUCCUGCAGUGGUGUGAUCAGUAUCACUAAGUCUUAUAGUACUGUAUUGCUGAGUUAGCGACAUGAUCAGUAUUGCUCAUUUGUCAAGGUUAAUUAUUUAAGUACAGGAGGACCCCAUUUCUCCAGCAGGUUGUUGACUACUGCUGUCGAGCAAAACAUGACCUUUUUUCACUUUCAAAUUCAUAUAAAAGUCUGAUAACAUAUUUACACUAUAAAGAACGAAGAUAAUACUGUGACUGGAACAAUACACAAAUAACCCACAUAAUAGGAGAAAGGAACUUGUGAUGUUUUGGUACAACUUGGACCAUUUACAAGUCACACUAACACGAGAUUGAGGAGUCAGUAUGUAUAGGUGAGGGUGACAGGGAAGGGACCAAGAGAUAGAAAAAGUAGUGGUGGCAGUAGUAAUGCUGGUAGAAGCUUGCACUACCAGCAUUACCACUACAGUGGAACCUCAGUACUUGAACAACUCUCUACUCAAACAAAGCUUAGCACUCGACCAAACAAACACAACAUACCAGAACUUCUCUGUAAACCAUUUCGUGUUUCUUCACAUUUUUUGGUUAUUUUUUAUAUUUGUUUAACUCUUAAGCUGUCCAAACAUAGAUCUACGUUCACAUGCGUAGUGCUCCAAAAGUAGAUCUUCAUUUUUUACAUAUUUUCAGAUAUAACAAAAAAAAAAAAAAGAUCAGAGUUUUUUACACGCUUUCAAAUAUGUAUAUAUAUAUAUAUAAAAAUUACGUUUUUUUACAUAUGUACUUUCAAAUGUUGAAAAAAAUGUAGAUCUACGUUUGGACAGUUUAAGGGUUAAGUAAGUCACUAUGGGGCCUACAAAGAUUAAUGAUAACAGUCAACCGAAAAGAAAAUUGGUUGGGAAGAACUUGUUCAAUACUCGAACGGAUUGCCACUCGAACAGCCUUCUGGAAUGAAUUAAGUUGAGUACAGAGGUUCCACUGUACAAGCAUUACCACUACCACCACCACUAUUUCUCUCUCUUGGCACUAUCCCUGUCCCCCUCGUCUGUAUAUACAGUCUCCCUCUCAUGUGUUACUAAUAGUGAAAUAUUGGUUAUAAUUGUGAUUUUUAAAGAAGUGGACCAGUAAGCCAGUGGAAGGCCUUGGUCAGAUGACCAAAAGGUCCAGCUGUGGGUCAUCACAUGACUAAGAUCCUAUCAUACCUCUUAUCUUUCUCUCUAUCUCUCUAUCUCUUUUUGGGUUAUUUGUGUAAUGUUUACACCAUCAUAUAUUAAGUCAGCAAUAGAACUAGGCCUAAAAAAGAAUACAUAUACAGUACACACAUUACUUACCUUAAAAUAUUUUCAUCCUUAGCUUAUAGUGUAGAAACAUUGGACGUGUUUCUUUGCACCUGUUGUCUAUGUUCCCCAUCAGUAAAAUGGGUACCAGGGUGUUAGUCGACUGGUGUAGGUCGCAUCCUGGGUGUUAGUCGACUGGUGUGGGUCGCAUCCUGGGUGUUAGUCGACUGGUGUGGGUCGCAUCCUGGGUGUUAGUGGACUGGUGUGGGUCGCAUCCUGGGUAUUAGUCGACUGGUGUGGGUCGCAUCCUGGGUGUUAGUCGACUGGUGUGGGUCGCAUCCUGGGUGUUAGUCGACUGGUGUGGGUCGCAUCCUGGGACACUGACCUAAGGAGGCCUGGUCACAGACCGGGCCGUGGGGGCGUUGACCCCCAGAACUCUCUCCAGAUAAACUCUCCAGAUAGUGAGUGAUGAAUAUAUUUAUUGUAGGAAGUCUGAAUAAAUGACAACUGACUAUAAUUGAAAACCACUUCAUUAGCAGAAUGCUGUACAGCAAAGUGUUGUAAAGUGGGGCCCUCCUGUAUUGUGGAAGUUACUAUUAUUUUAGUAUAAGAGGAGAACUAGAGGUCUCUUAAGUAUCCUUACUCUUAUAAAAUCUACAUUUAUGACAAUAAAUUAUGCCAUAUUU